UUGCACUUGUCGCCCAGGCUGGAGUGCAAUGGCACAAUCUUGGCUCACCACAACCUCCACCUCUCGGGUUCAAGCAAUUCUCCUGCCUCAGCCUCCUGAGUAGCUGGGAUUGCAGGCAUGCGCCACCACGCCCGGCUAAUUUUGUGUUUUUUUAGUAGAGACCGAGUUUCUCCAUGUUGGUCAGGCUGAUCUGGAACACCCAACCUCAGACGAUCCGCUUGCCUCGGCCUCCCAAAGUGCUGGGAUUACAGGCGUGAGCCACUGCGCUCGGAGUCCUUGGCCUUUAGAUGAUUUAUAGAUCAAAACUGUGAGGCUGCGUGAAUUGAUCAAGAGAACAGGCGAGGGCGGGGAAGAGGUGUGAAACCUGAGCCCUAGGGCUUCCAGUCCUCAGAGGUGGGUGAGGAAUGGGCCAGGUAGCGGGGGUGGAGUGGUAAGAAAGGUGGGGCUGGGCGCGGUGGCCCACGCCUGUAAUCCUAGCACUUUGGGAGACCGAGGCAGGUGGAUAACUUGGGGUCAGGAGUUUGAGACCAUCCUGGCCAGCAUGAAGAAACCCCAUUUCCAAUAAAAAUACAAAAAUUAGCCAGAUGUGGGUGCCUGUAGUCCCAGCUACUUGGGAGGCUGAGGCAGAAGAAUUGCUUGAACCCGGGAGGAGGAGGUUGCAGUGAGCCGAGAUUGCGUCACUGCACUCCAGCCUGGAUGACAAAAUGAGACUCCAUCUCAAAAAAAAAAAAAAAAAGGAAGGUGGGAUCCUGGAGAGGUAGCACCCUGGGAGACAUUCCACGGUGGCGAGGAGUAAUUCAGCGUCAGGAUAGGCAGCUGGCGUCUCUGUCUGGCUGUAGGAACAGCUGUGGUGGAUGCCACAUUAGAGUUCUGGAGCUGAUGGUGGCAGCAGCUGGAACGUGGACUGUGAGAGGAGCCUUCCUUUUCUCCCCAGCAUAUAAGAUGCUGUCUUUAAGUAUGCCUUAUUUCUGUCUUUAAGUGUGCCUUAUUAAAAACGCCUUUUAAUUCUCAAUGUCCAGGCAAUGUGAAAUACUGGGUAAAAGUUCUGAAGUAGUUUCUAAAUGUUUAUUUGGUUAGUUAUUUUUAUUUAUUUAUUUAAUUUUAUUGUAUUAUUAUUUUUUGAGACGGAGUCUUGCUCUCUUGCCCAGGCUGGAGUGCAAUGGUGCUAUCUCAGCUCACUGCAACCUCCGCCUCCUAGUUCCAGUGAUUCUCCUGCCUCAGCUUCCUGGGUAGCUGGGAUUACAGGUGCACACCAUCAUGCCCAGCUAAUGUUUGUAUUUUUAGUAGAGAUGGGGUUUCAUCGUGUUGGCCAGGCUGGUCUCAAACUCCUGUCCUCAGUUGAUCCACUUACCGCUGCCUUCCAAAGUGCUGGGAUUACAGGCGUUAGCUACCAUGCCUGGCCUAUUUUUUUUUUUAUUUGAGAUGGAGUCUUGCUGUGUUGCCCAGGCUGGAGUGCAGUGGCACAAUCUUGGCUCACUGCAACCUCUGCCCCCUGGGUUCAAGCAAUUCUGCUGCUUCAGCCUCCUGAGUAGCUGGGACUGCAGACAUGUGCCACCAUGCCCUGCUAAUUUUUUUUGUAUUUUUAGUAGAGAUGGGGUUUCACCGUGUUGGUCAGACUGGUCUCAAACUCCUGACCUCAAAUGAUCCGCCCACCUCGGCCUUCCAAAGUGCUGGGAUUACAGGUGUGAGCCACUGCGCCCAGCCUAUUUGGUUAAUUAUUAAGAGUAUCUUUUCUUCAAAGAGGAAACAGAGAAACAGUUGGAACAGUUCUUUGGUCAUUCAUUUAGUCUACCUCCUCACCUUGGGUAUUUUCUGUAUAAAAUCCCCAUGUAGAGGCACGGGGCUUUGGCUGGAGCUGGUGACAGGGUGCUCGCUUCUCUUCGAGCCACUCAUUUCUUUCAGGGACCAGUUUAAGAGGCAGUGUAGUCUAACUAGCUGUGUUAAACUUGGUUGCGAAGUAGAAUUUAACCUUUUUUUGGUGUUUAGUUUCCUCAUCUAUGGAGUCAUCUAUAGGACUAGAUUUAGGACAUAAAGGAUCAAUGCCAUGAAAAAUCAAUGGUCAUGGUUUUUUUUUUAUCUUGAGCUGCACUUCCUUCUGUAACUUAUGGGCAUUUUGCUUUCUGCAGCAAAACAGAAUGUAUUGAUUCUGGUGGGGCACGGUGGCUCACGCCUGUAAUCCCAGUACUUUGGGAGGCCAAGGAGGGCAGAUCACCUGAGGUCAGGAGUUUGAGACCAGCCUGGCCAACAUGGCAGAACCCCAUCUCUACUGAAAAUACAAAAAUUAGCCAGGCAAAUUCAGUUAGGACCAGGUGUUUCUAAUAAAUUGACUUAUCUCUAAAACUUGGCUGGGCGUGGUGUCUGACGCCUAUAAUCCUAGCACUUUGGGAGUGGGGAGAAUUGCUUGAGGCCAAUACUUCAAGACCAAACUGGCCAACAUAGCAAGAACCCAUCUCUAAAAAAACAAAAAUUGGCAGGCCUGUAGUCCCAGCUACUCGGGAGGCUACGGCAGGAGAAUUGCUCGAACCUAGGAGACAGAGGCUGCAGUGAGCCAAGAUCACAUCAUUGCAUUCCAGCCUGGAUGACAGAGUGAGACUCUGUCUCAAAAAAAAAAAAAAAAAAAAAAAAAAAAAAAAAAAAGCAUGUAUUGUUCUGUCAUCUGAAGCAGAAUUGAGAUUUUCUUCAUCCCUUUUGUUCUGUGUAGCAUAAGUCCAUAUGAGGGGCAGCUAGACAACAUAGAAUCUACUUUAAGG
rnacentral:lncRNA from 1 species